UCGAGCGAACAGACGAGGAGCUUGCUCCUCUGACGUUAGCGGCGGACGGGUGAGUAACACGUGGAUAACCUACCUAUAAGACUGGGAUAACUUCGGGAAACCGGAGCUAAUACCGGAUAAUAUAUUGAACCGCAUGGUUCAAUAGUGAAAGACGGUUUUGCUGUCACUUAUAGAUGGAUCCGCGCCGCAUUAGCUAGUUGGUAAGGUAACGGCUUACCAAGGCAACGAUGCGUAGCCGACCUGAGAGGGUGAUCGGCCACACUGGAACUGAGACACGGUCCAGACUCCUACGGGAGGCAGCAGUAGGGAAUCUUCCGCAAUGGGCGAAAGCCUGACGGAGCAACGCCGCGUGAGUGAUGAAGGUCUUCGGAUCGUAAAACUCUGUUAUUAGGGAAGAACAAAUGUGUAAGUAACUAUGCACGUCUUGACGGUACCUAAUCAGAAAGCCACGGCUAACUACGUGCCAGCAGCCGCGGUAAUACGUAGGUGGCAAGCGUUAUCCGGAAUUAUUGGGCGUAAAGCGCGCGUAGGCGGUUUUUUAAGUCUGAUGUGAAAGCCCACGGCUCAACCGUGGAGGGUCAUUGGAAACUGGAAAACUUGAGUGCAGAAGAGGAAAGUGGAAUUCCAUGUGUAGCGGUGAAAUGCGCAGAGAUAUGGAGGAACACCAGUGGCGAAGGCG
rnacentral:rRNA from 1 species